CCUACGGGAGGCAGCAGUGGGGAAUAUUGGACAAUGGGCGAAGGCCUGAUCCAGCCAUGCCGCGUGUGUGAAGAAGGCCUUCGGGUUGUAAAGCACUUUCAGUGGGGAAGAAAGCCUUGGGGCUAAUACCCUCGAGGAAGGACAUCACCCACAGAAGAAGCACCGGCUAACUCCGUGCCAGCAGCCGCGGUAAUACGGAGGGCGCGAGCGUUAAUCGGAAUUACUGGGCGUAAAGCGCGCGUAGGCGGUCUGAUAAGCCGGUUGUGAAAGCCCCGGGCUCAACCUGGGAACGGCAUCCGGAACUGUCAGGCUAGAGUGCAGGAGAGGAAGGUAGAAUUCCCGGUGUAGCGGUGAAAUGCGUAGAGAUCGGGAGGAAUACCAGUGGCGAAGGCGGCCUUCUGGACUGACACUGACGCUGAGGUGCGAAAGCGUGGGUAGCAAACAGGAUUAGAUACCCUGGUAGUC
rnacentral:rRNA from 1 species